rnacentral:rRNA from 1 species
UCAGUCGACUCCUACGGGGAGGCAGCAGUGGGGGAAUAUUGCACAAUGGGCGCAAGCCUGAUGCAGCCAUGCCGCGUGUGUGAAGAAGGCCUUCGGGUUGUAAAGCACUUUCAGUCGUGAGGAAGGUAGUGUAGUUAAUAGCUGCAUUAUUUGACGUUAGCGACAGAAGAAGCACCGGCUAACUCCGUGCCAGCAGCCGCGGUAAUACGGAGGGUGCGAGCGUUAAUCGGAAUUACUGGGCGUAAAGCGCAUGCAGGUGGUUUGUUUAAGUCAGAUGUGAAAGACCCGGGGCUCAACCUCGGAAUAGCAUUUGAAACUGGCAGACUAGAGUACUGUAGAGGGGGGGUAGGAAUUUCAGGUGUAGCGGUGAAAUGCGUAGAGAUCUGAAGGAAUACCAGUGGCGAAGGCGGCCCCCUGGACAAAGACUGACGCUCAGAUGCGAAAGCGUGGGGAGCAAACAGGAUUAGAUACCCCUGGUAG